CUUGUACACACCGCCCGUCACACCAUGGGAGUGGGUUCCACCAGAAGCCGGUCGCCUAACCGUAAGGGAGGCGCCGACCACGGUGAGAUUCAUGACUGGGGUG
rnacentral:rRNA from 1 species